rfam:Marine metagenome ctg_1101667165122, whole genome shotgun sequence.
GUUACCGUAAGGUAAGGUGGGAAGGAAGCCGAAGGCAAAACCUUGGUCUGAGGAACACGAACCACAUAGGAGGCGAAGAAGCUGUGGGCGAGAGGGCGUUGGUACUCGAAACCCAAAUACCAUUCAGACAGCGAUUCGUAGAUGUGGCAGAUAUAUGAGGUGAAGGUCAUGCGU